rnacentral:rRNA from 1 species
AUUGAACGCUGGCGGCGUGCUUAACACAUGCAAGUCGAUCGGUAACAGGUGUAGCAAUACAUGCUGACGAGAGGCGGACGGGUGAGGAAUAUUUGGGAAUCUGCCCAUCAGCGGGGGACAACCCGGGGAAACCCGGGCUAAUACCGCAUACGCUCUACGGAGGAAAGCCGGGGACCGCAAGGCCUGGCACUGAUGGAUGAGCCCAAAUCGGAUUAGCUAGUUGGCGGGGUAACGGCCCACCAAGGCGACGAUCCGUAGCUGGUCUGAGAGGACGAUCAGCCACACCGGAACUGAGACACGGUCCGGACUCCUACGGGAGGCAGCAGUGGGGAAUUUUGGACAAUGGGCGCAAGCCUGAUCCAGCCAUGCCGCGUGCGGGAAGAAGGCCUUCGGGUUGUAAACCGCUUUUGUCAGGGAAGAAAUCCUGCGGGCUAAUAUCCUGCGGGGAUGACGGUACCUGAAGAAUAAGCACCGGCUAACUACGUGCCAGCAGCCGCAGUAACAC